GUAGGUGGCAAGCGUUGUCCGGAAUUAUUGGGCGUAAGGCGCGCGCAGGCGGUUCUUUAAGUCUGAUGUGAAAGCCCACGGCUCAACCGUGGAGGGUCAUUGGAAACUGGAGAACUUGAGUACAGAAGAGGAAAGCGGAAUUCCACGUGUAGCGGUGAAAUGCGUAGAGAUGUGGAGGAACACCAGUGGCGAAGGCGGCUUUCUGGUCUGUAACUGACGCUGAGGCGCGAAAGCGUGGGGAGCAAACAGGAUUAGAUACCCUGGUAGUCCACGCCGUAAACGAUGAGUGCUAAGUGUUAGGGGGGUUUCCGCCCCCCUUAGUGCUGCAGCUAACGCAUUAAGCACUCCGCCUGGGAGUACGGCCGCAAGGCUG
rnacentral:rRNA from 1 species